rnacentral:miRNA from 1 species
GCUUUUCUCUUUUUUCUUUCUCGGCGUCCUGCUUCACUCCGAACCGGCUGGAAAGCGCGGCCAG